GUGUACCAUGUACAUGCAGUGUCCACAGAAGAGGGUGCUGGACUGCAGUUACAAAUACUUGUAAGCUACCAUAUGGGUGCUGGAAAUUGAACCCAGGUCCUUUGAUAGAGCAGUCAGUGCUCUUAACCACUGAGCCAACUCUUCAGCUCCUGGUUCCUGUUUUUUAUUUAGUCCAAGACCCUGUCUGUAGGAUUGUGCCAAUCUACAUUUAGGGUGGUUAGUCUAGAAAUUCUCACAGACAUGCUUAGAGCUUUGUUUCCAUGGUGAUUAUAAAUCUCAUGAAAUUGUCAACAAAAUAGCUACUAUUGCAGCUGCCAUUCUUCUAUAGCCCCAGUUGGUUGGGUGGGGGGUACAAUGAACUAUGGUUUCUGGGAAAGAUAAGUAUUUCUCCCAUCUCUUUAGCAUAAUUUCAGGUGAAUCAGAUUUAAGGGAUGGAGUUGGCCAAGUGAUUGACAGUCUGGGGUAUAUAUUCAGGACGACGACGACGACGACGACGAUGACGAUGAUGAUUGUCUUAGGGUUUUACUGCUGUGAACAGACACCGUGACCAAGGCAAGUCUUAUAAAGGACAACAAUUAACUGGAGCUGGCUUACAGGUUCAGAGGUUCAGUCCAGUAUCAUCAAGGUGGGAGCAUGGCAGCAUCCAGGCAGGCAUGGUGCAGGAGGAGCUGAGAGUUCUACAUCUUCAUCUAAAGGCUGCUAGUAGAAAACUGACUUCCAGGCAGCUAGGGUAAAGGUCUUACAACCACAGUGGCAUAUCUAAUCCAACAAGGCCACUCCCUGAGUCAACCAUAUAUAAACCAUCACAUUUCACUCCCUGGCCCUCAUAGGCUUGUUCAAACACAUGAGUCUAUGAGAGUCAUAUCUAGCCAUAACAUAAUAAAAAAUGCAUUUAGUCCAGCUUCCAAAGCCCCACAGUCUAUAGCAGUCUUGACAAUGUUAAAGUCCAAAGUUCAAGGUCGUUUCUGAGAUUCAUCCAAUCACUUAACUGUAAUCCCAAAGCAAGACUGGAUUUGAACUCAG
ensembl:lncRNA